UUCUCCCCCCUCCUUGUCAUUUAUUAAUUCUCUCUCCUCUUUUCUCUCUCUUGAUUUGGAGAUCUUAUUCUGCUCGACCAAGUUUGUUCCUUUUAGCAUAAUUUGAGGGUUAAUUCCCCAUAAAUUCUUACUUUGUCUUGUUCUUGUGUCGGUUAGGUUUUCAAGAAAACCCCUCUUUUGUCUUGUCUCCUCAAUAUCAGUGGUUUAUUUCUCAAUAAUAAAAGAGGGGUUUGUUCAAGUCUUCUCUCUCUAGUCACUCUCUCAAUAUAUAAAUACUUCCAACUCUCCGAAAUGAUCAGAAGCUCUUUGUUAUUAUCUCUUGACCUACACACAGACGGAUAAGAGAAAGUGACCAAAGGAAUUAGGGAUCGAGAUGAACAAGAGUAAUCCUGCUGGCGCAGUUACCGGUUCAGAUAUAAUUGACGCAAAGAUCGAAGAGCAUCAACUUUGUGGAUCCAAUAAGUGUCCCAGCUGCGGCCACAAGCUCGAGGGCAAACCACAGAAUUGGGUUGGUUUACCCGCAGGAGUGAAAUUUGACCCAACGGAUCAAGAGUUGAUAGAACAUUUAGAGGCAAAAGUAUUAGUUAAAGAAAUGAAAUCUCACCCUCUAAUUGACGAAUUCAUCCCCACCAUUGAAGGCGAAGACGGCAUUUGUUACACGCAUCCCGAGAAACUUCCCGGAGUGACUAGAGAUGGUUUAAGCAGACACUUUUUUCAUAGACCCUCAAAGGCUUAUACGACGGGAACAAGAAAGCGAAGAAAGAUUCAAACGGAAUGUGACAAUAGUAUGCAUGGAAGUAGUAGUUCCGGGGAGACGAGGUGGCAUAAGACCGGCAAGACAAGACCGGUUAUGGUAAACGGUAAGCAAAAAGGUUGUAAAAAGAUUUUGGUUUUGUAUACCAAUUUUGGUAAGAAUCGAAAACCGGAGAAAACCAAUUGGGUAAUGCAUCAAUAUCACUUGGGGACACAUGAGGAAGAGAGAGAAGGAGAGCUUGUUGUGUCUAAGAUCUUUUAUCAGACUCAGCCUAGGCAAUGCAAUUGGUCGUCAUCUACGUCAAGUCUGAACGCUAUAGGUGGUGGAGGCGGUGAAGCGAAUAGUGGUGGAGGCGGCGGAGAGUAUAAGAUGAGGAGAGGUAGUGGCACUACCAGUGGUGGGAGUUGUUCCUCGUCUAGAGAGAUUAUGAAUGUUAAUCCUACAAAUCGAUCUGAUGAAGUAGGUGGUGUUGGUGGUGGCGCUAUGGCUGUAGCGGCUGCUGCUGCGGCGGUUGUGGCUGGUCUCCCGAGUUAUGCAAUGGAUCAACUAAGCUUUGUUCCUUUUAUGAAGAGUUUCGAUGAGGUGGCGAGGAGGGAAACUCUUCACACCGGGCAAGCUACAUGUGAUGAUGUUAUGGCAGAACAACUUCGUCAUCGUCAUCAAGCAUCACCAUCAUCAACAUCAUCACAUCAUGUGGCUCAUCACCAUCAUCAGCAUCACCAUCAGCAACAACAACGGUAUCAUGCAUUCAACAUAAGCCAGCCUACACAUCCAAUAUCAACCAUCAUUUCUCCAUCUACAUCGCUUCACCAUGCCCCCGUUAAUACCCUUGACGAUAAUCCUUAUCAUGUUCAUAGAAUUUUGCUCCCUAAUGAAAAUUACCAGGCACACCAACAACAACAAGACCAAGAAAGAGACGAGCAACACAAUGAUGGGAAGAUGGGAGGAAGGUCAGCUUCUGGAUUGGAAGAACUCAUAAUGGGCUGCUCUUCUUCGAACACUCAUCAUGAUGUAAAAGAUGGAUCAUCAUCAAUGGGGAACCAACAGGAAGCAGAAUGGUUGAAGUACUCAACAACAUUUUGGCCACCCCCUGACUCUUCUGAUAAUCAAGAUCAUCAUGGGUAAUUGUGCCAUUUUCCAGUCUGAUGAUCAUGACCCUCAUCACAAAGUGUUGUUGCCACUAAUACCUAUCAUGGUGGUUAUCUUCAUCGUCGUCAUCAUCAUAACACCAUAGAAAAUGAGGAAGCUAUCGUGAAGAUCGUCGAAUUUCGUUCCUUUCUUUUUUGCCAAAAGGAGCUGGAGGAUGGUGGUGUCUGGCGGUCGAGGUUGCAACCAUUGUUGAAGGGUCCAAGAUGCAGCAUCAGAUAAACCUGAAGGAGGAUUUGGAAGAAAAAAUUUAUGCUAAUAUUGGUGAAACUGUUGUUGAAAAGUCGGAAAAUAAAGAAAACGUGUCCGUGGUUUUCAAUUCCCGUACGUGAAGCAAAGAACACAAGUUAAAGAACAUUUUUGAAGAACACAAGUUAAAGAACAUUCAUGUCCCAUUUCUUGAGUCUGUCUCUAUUCUGUAAACAUGCAAGCAUAUACGUUAAAU